rnacentral:rRNA from 1 species
UACGGAGGGUGCAAGCGUUAUCCGGAUUCACUGGGUUUAAAGGGUGCGUAGGCGGGUGUGUAAGUCCGUGGUGAAAUCUCUGAGCUUAACUCGGAAACUGCCAUGGGUACUGCAUAUCUUGAAUGUUGUGGAGGUGAGCGGAAUAUGUCAUGUAGCGGUGAAAUGCUUAGAUAUGACAUAGAACACCAAUUGCGAAGGCAGCUCACUACACAAAUAUUGACGCUGAGGCACGAAAGCGUGGGGAUCAAACAGG